rnacentral:rRNA from 1 species
UACGUAGGGCGCAAGCGUUAUCCGGAAUUAUUGGGCGUAAAGAGCUCGUAGGCGGUCUGUCGCGUCCGUUGUGAAAACUCGAGGCUCAACCUCGGGCUUGCAGUGGAUACGGGCAGACUAGAGUCCGGGAGAGGAGAGUGGAAUUCCUGGUGUAGCGGUGGAAUGCGCAGAUAUCAGGAGGAACACCGUGGCGAAGGCGGGUCUCUGGGCAGUAACUGACGCUGAGGAGCGAAAGCGUGGGGAGCGAACAGG